rnacentral:lncRNA from 1 species
UUGAAUGCUUCCUAGUAUAAGAUAUCCGAUGAGCUUCCGGGGUCUAUCAAGACUCUCUUUAUGCUACAAUCAUGGAUCUGUACUAUAAUCACCAUGGAAUCGUUUUCGUGAGCCAACACUCCUUCUGAGUCCUUUAUGGAGAAGCUGAUCACAAUUGAAUUCUCUUUUCCCUCUGACGGUGACUUCUGUUCGAUGUGCAUUAUGAUCGAGCAUACAUUUUCCUAGUCGAGCUAGUUUCUCAUCCUCCUGC